AUACGUAGGUGACAAGCGUUAUCCGGAAUUACUGGGCGUAAAGCGCACGCAGGCGGCAGAUUAAGUCUGACGUGAAAUCUCCUGGCUUAACUGGGAGGGGUCGUUGGAAACUGGUCAGCUUGAGGUGGUGAGAGGGGUGUAGAAUUCCCGGUGUAGUGGUGGAAUGCGUAGAUAUCGGGAGGAAUACCAGUGGCGAAAGCGACACCCUGGCACUAGCCUGACGCUCAUGUGCGAAAGCGUGGGGAGC
rnacentral:rRNA from 1 species